rnacentral:rRNA from 1 species
UACGUAGGGUGCGAGCGUUGUCCGGAAUCACUGGGCGUAAAGGGCGUGUAGGCGGUCUGGUAAGUGGGAUGUGAAAGCCCCCGGCUCACCCGGGGAUCUGCAUUCCAAACUGCCAGACUUGAGUAUGGGAGAGGACAGGGGAAUUCCUGGUGUAGCGGUGAAAUGCGUAGAUAUCAGGAGGAACACCGGUGGCGAAAGCGCCUGUCUGGCCCAAUACUGACGCUGAUGCGCGAAAGCUAGGGGAGCAAACGGG